UAAAUGUUGUUGUUUAUAUCUCAAUAACCCGGGUUCGAACUACGGGUUUGACACUUUUUCACAUUUUUUAAAAGUGGGGUCCACAAAAUGCUGAUGUGACGCGCAGAGGAGUGAGCAAAAACUCAACUAUUAUAAUAUAGAUUUGCUGAUGAGUUAUUCACAUGUUAUGUUCUUCUUCGUUUAUUCUUUCGGUUAUAUCUCCUAGUAAAUCAAAAAAGAGUCAAGAAAGAAAACUGUAAUUUUUUUAAUUAAAUAUAUAUAUAUAUAUAUAUAUAUAUUAAUUCAAUCCGAAAAUCAGGGAAUCAGAUCCGGUUACAAACUCGCUUUGAAAAAAAAUCUCCAAAUUCAAACUAUUAUAAACUAGCUUCGCCCACCCACUAACCCGGCACAUUCCGCUAGUCCAUUUUUCGAAAUUCUUUGGAAUCGAUUGCCAUUCUCAACUAUCAACGAUAAACGACGGGAAGGUGAGGUUCUCCUUGUUGUCUUGGAUGCCGGGAAUUCCAAUGUCGUCUCCGGAGUAGCUAGCUCUGAUGAUCUCCUCGAAGCUUAUAUCUGUCACCAUCUAUGAAGCGCAAGGCGAGCAAUAAAGGAUAGUUCCAAAUACUUACCAUGAAGCCUUGCAAUGCCACCAAAGUCAGGUUUGUAGUUAACGCCACACAACGCUUAAAACACCACCUUUAACGAGAAAGCACUCACUAUUGCCGCCAUCGAACUGCUAACCUAAAACAAUGGGCUGAGAGGGAAGCAUCACCAAUCCGCAAUAUUCAGAACCUGCAAAGAAGAAAAGAACUGCCUGCGAAGAGACCGAGCGACCUCGAAGUAGUACUGGGAUGACAGAGUCUUAAGCAGGCCCCCCAUCACCGGCAAGACCCAGCUGACCCAAACAGAAAAUAACUGAUGAAAACAAACUCCAGAAUAGAGAACCUAAACCGGUCUUCUCUGCGCUUCAAGUGUUCCUCGAUGGGGAACCGAGGAGAGAGCAGAAGCAGGCCUAAAACAGCUCCGACCAUAACAAGUCAAAGCAAUCACGAAUGAUGAAAUGAAGACUGUGAAAUAAGGUAAGAGCAGCCACAAGAAUGAGAGGAGCACAACCAUAGACGGCAUGACACCAGACUACAAUCCACAGCUACAUGCGCCAAACCCACAUAAGUGAAGCCACCUAACAGCUACCACACUUCUAUGCACACGCAAGCGAUGAACAACCACCGCCUUCCCUGAGCAAGAGACAAACCCUCUGACUAAUCACAAGACCACAAACCAAAAUGAAAGGGAAGAUCUGUACUCCUCUCCACAACGAAGAGAACUCUUCGAAACUGCAAGCAAGAUAACCACGGGGAGAGAGUUCACUGAAACUCCAAACGCCUCUAACUCGAGAAUUCAGAUGGAAUCUACAAGAUAAUAACGAGAUCCACCAAAGCCAGACCCUAAAAGCCGACUACGCUUGACCCCUACCCUCACGCCUCACAGAAGCUCCAAAUCAAAGCGUACCAACCACGGAUUAGAGAGCCCGCGGCGGAGUCCUUUUCAGAACGCCUAGUAUCUCGACGGGUCGGAGAGAGGAGACACAAACGGAGCAAAACACAAAGAGGAAGGGGGAAAGGGAAAAGCUUCCGGCGGCCACGCGCCCGGCUGACAGCCGCAAGAGCAGAUCGAAGAAGAUGAAGUAGUGAGAAAUUAGAAGUUUCGUUUUGAGAGAGAGAUUUUAAUAUUUACAUUAAGAAAAAAAAAACUGUAGUUUACAAUACAAAAGAAAGAGAGAAACAUUGACUUCUCUGUUUGACCACAAAUUAUUGAUUAAAUUGGAUAUUACCAUCAAAUACGGAUAUAUACAGAUGCGAUGCAAGUCAUAGGAUAGAUGGAGAUAUUAUUACCAUCACUUACCUAACACUUUCUAUGUCACUAUCUCAAAAUCUCUUACCAACAAAUCGAUGGAAAUAUUUUAAUACAUAUUUACAACCUUUCUUGGGUUACAGUGGUCUUGAAAGAGCUUUGGCCCCAAUACAGAUCCGGAUUCGAAUCCCGCUGGCCACCGUCGAUUAAAAUGGGGUGAAAAAGGCGGUCCUCCAGAAUGCCUUCUGCGGAGGUGUACUUAGGCGCUAGUCGGGUUCCCUCCAGGGUGUCUGGAUUACCUGGAUUAUCAAAAAAAAAAAUCAUUAAGAAAAUGAUAACUUCACGAGAAAAACACACUUUAUAAUUUGGGUUAUUAUUUAGAAGAAUUCUUAUGCAACUUUGCAUCGUGAUUUUUCUUUGUUAAAAAGUAAAAGAUAUCUUUAUUAUGACCUAUCCAGUUUUCCACAUCCGAAAUUUUGACAUUAUGUGUAUGAAUGGCGACACUAAAGCGGGACAUAAUUGUAGAAAAGAGAGAGUGAAAUAACGCACUUGUUACCAUCUUACUAUACUAAAAGGAGAAUAAAGUGAGUUGAGAAGCUGUCCACAUAGACUGAUUAAUUCAAGCCUAUCAGAAUUCGCCAUGUCAGCUUAAUUAACAUGUCAUCAGCUUAAAGCUACAAUCACUAAACUAAAACAUGCCAAAUCGAGAGUUUGUUUGGUUCCUGCCAAAACCGAGGCCCAAGAAAUUUGUUGCCCUUCACUUCUAAAUCUUCGACGACCUAACUAUUCAUCUUCCUCAACGUUUAGUUUUUUUUUUUGGUAAACCUCAACGUUUAGUCUUUUGAUGUUCAUCUCUUCUAUUCAUCAAAGUCAUCUUCAAUAGUGUAAAUCAACUCUUCAAUUUCCCACACUCGCCAUAUAUAACUUUGUCACGGCUUUAUCUCUUGCCUUAUUCCACACACCAGCUAAACAAAAAUUUUAUGAGCCUUUUAGCUGUAUAUACAUAGAAAGUAAAUUAAUUAGGUUACAAUGCAUUACUUUAUUCUGAUUACUUAUUUUUCUUAUAUGCAUCACAUAUUUUGAUUUCUUCGUCUGCAGAUAACACUGCCAACAGAUUCGUCUCUAUAGCUUGAAUCGAGGUGGAAGUGAGAAGCCGUAGAAUCUGGGGACGAGAGGCGGCGUAUAGGGAGUCUGGAGAAAAAUCUUCGCUGGAAUUGAAACCAGCAUGUAGAGAGAUAUCAAAGAGGAGUUAAAAAAUUGGUUGGGAGAGAAGACUUCCAGCUCCAGGGAGACCUUAGAAGAAACUGAAUGGAGCAUGUGAAGAAACAAAGGAGAAAAUUUGGUACAGUCGAUGAACUAAUCCAAGUGAUCACUCCAAAAGGCAGAGAUAAACAAAGAUAAACAAACACUUUUAAGAUGAAACCAGAACAGAGAAACCUGUUUUCCAAAUACUUUGAAAUAUCACAAUUCUAUUUUUCAGUUUGAGGUAUUAGACUUGGGUUAUUAUGAAAUGGAAAGUGGGAAAGAAGAGAGUAUGCAUACAUAUCCUUUGAGAUCUCUUGCUUCAUCUCUUGAAAAGGGUCUGUGCGUAUGAGUUAACCAAGAAUUAAAUUCAGCGAUAUUUUCACAGGUGAAGUCUCCUUGCUCUUUCACUCAAAGAGAGAUUGAAUAUCUCACGGACACCAUCCAUAAUGGUGGCACUGAAGUAAUGAGUCUUGAUCCGAUGUUUCAUUUGCUGGAGGACAUGUAUUGAGUUUUUAUAAUCAUUGUUCUUCACUCCAUAUAUAUUUAACUGCAUAUGAACUGAUGCUGCAGUAAUGCUACGGUCACGAUUGAUGGCAACGACCUUCGAUAUGAUAGAUCCAGCACAGUGACAUGACUGGCGGUAGAAACCAAAACCAGAGUUACGCUAAAGCAAAGGGAACAAGGAAACAUAAAGUAAAAACAAAGUUGUGAUUGCCCUCCUUGCCUCUUCUGUGAAAACUUAGAAAUACUUUUGCUUUGUGUUUGUUAGUGUCCGUAAAAUCCACAUCUAUAUGUAAUUAUAGUGUUGGGUCCCUCCUAGAUGGAGAGAACCAAGUGGGCAUGAGACAUAAUAAUAAUUCUCAUGACCCUUUGCACUGUAGACUCACAAUAAUAGAGUUUAGAGAGAGAGACAAAAGAGAGAAAGAAGAGAGAAAGAGGAGAAAACUCGUCCGGCUAUUUCAAGACUGGUUUUGGAGGAUCAAACGGAACUUGAUCGAGCUGAUAUUUUGUGGGAAGCUUCUUAAGUCAGUGGGUUAGAUAUUCACCGAAGAGAUUUAGAUUUCAACGGUUGGAUCUUCUGUUGUCUGGGUUUUAGUGAAGCUGGUCGUCACAGUUCUUCAUCGGGACAGUCUUGGGUGUUUGGUAAAUCCGACGGUAAGAUCUUCUCUUCUUGAGCUGAAAUUUGGUGGAGGUAUUUUUGACUUGUUUAUCUUGGAUUUGUACGGUUGGAUUAGUCUCUGGAUGCCGGAAUCCUUGUGAGCUGAGGUCGUUUGGUUGCUGCCGAUUUUGAGACUUUGUGUUGCUCUCUUGUUGUUGUUGUUUGUGUUGGAGAUAGCUCUUUGAAGCUAGUGUCUCUGUUCUGUUCUGGUUGUUGAACAGGGAGGACGUGGUUGUACUCACAAACAUUUAUAUAGUGGAUUGUUGAGUGGACUACGGUCCCGUGGUUUUUCCUUCUCACAUCGAGGAGGUUUUCCACGUAAAAAGUGAUUGUCUCAUUUACAUUUCCGCUUAUACUAUAUUCUGCCAUCGUCGAAGUAUUUUCUUUACAGGUUCACACAAGGUCAGGAGAACACGACCAUUAGUAUUUCCGCUGCGCCGUGUGACUUUCCUCAACAUAUAGGAGGUAGACAUUGGCUAAGAGAAUGUUUCAUUUCAAAGACGUGCAUAGGGUAAAAGUAUAUAUUGGCAGAUGAUGGUUUACAGGAAUACAUUAUAUAUAUAUGUAUUAGUUGUGCUUUAGCAAAUGUUUAUGUAAAAAUGUUAUAGAUCGUCUCUUUUUUUAGAAGUAUAUUUAAUUUGACGCAGACUCAGUAAUAUAUGCAAUUGUUUUAGGUUAUCAUC